rnacentral:rRNA from 1 species
GACGGGUGAGGAUCCCGUCCGCUGGAUGACCAAGGGUUCCGGGGCCACGUUCGUCGUCCCCGGGUGAGUCGGGUCCUAAGGCGAGGCCGACAGGCGUAGUCGAAUGGAUGAACGGGUGGAUAUUCCCGUACCGACCAUGGACCGGCAAAACCGAGACGGUGAGUACUAACCUCCGCCUCGUGGUGGUUCCUUCCUUCGGGUUGGUUCCGUCGCGUGGUGUUGGGACUGUAGCCGCAGUAGGUCAGCGCAGGGGUGACACGGAAUGGGAGCCGGCCGCGGAGGUGGUUUUCCGUGGUCAAGCACGCAGCCAGUCAUGUAGGCAAAUCCGCAUGGCGCGCAUGGCGAGGUGUGAUGAUGGGAGCCGUUAUGGCUCGAUAUCCGGUUGUCCAGGCCGUCGAGAAAAGCCUCGGCGUGAGGGCCAUGGCCGCCCGUACCCCAAACCGACACUGGUGGUCAGGUAGAGAAUACCAAGGCGAUCGAGCGAAUCCUGGUCAAGGAACUCGGCAAAUCACUCCCGUGCCUUCGGUAUAAGGGAGACCCACUGGGGUGAAGGACCUUGCGUCCGGAGCUUUGGUGGGUGGCACAGACCAGGGGGUAGCGACUGUUUACCAAAAACACAGGUGCAUGCGAAGGCGAAAGCCGCUGUAUAUGCACUGACGCCUGCCCGGUGCCGGAAGGUUAAGAGGAUCCGUCAAUCCCUUCGGGGACGAAGCGGUGAAUUCAAGCCCCGGUAAACGGCGGUGGUAACUAUAACCAUCCUAAGGUAGCGAAAUUCCUUGUCGGGUAAGUUCCGACCUGCACGAAUGGCGUAACGACUUCCCCACUGUCUCGACCAGGAGCUCGGCGAAAUUGCAGUACGAGUAAAGAUGCUCGUUAAGCGCAGAAGGACGAAAAGACCCCGGGACCUUUACUAUACCUUGGUAUUGGCGUUAGGCGCGGAUUGUGUAGCAUAGGCGGGAGGCUUCGAAGCGGGUGCGCCAGCAUUCGUGGAGCCGCAAGGUGAAAUACCGCUCUGUUCUCGUUUGACGUCUAACCUCGACAAGUCAUCCUUGUCAGGGACAGUGCCUGGCGGGUAGUUCAACUGGGGCGGUUGCCUCCCAAAGAGUAACGGAGGCGCUCAAAGGUCCGCUCAGCCCGGUUGGCAAUCGGGUGUCGAGUGUAAUCGCACAAGCGGGCUUGACUGCGAGGACGACGGUCCGAGCAGGGACGAAAGUCGGAGAUAGUGAUCCGGUGCCGGCGCACGGGCGCGGCAUCGCUCAACGGAUAAAAGGUACCCCGGGGAUAACAGGCUGAUCAUUCCCAAGAGUCCAUAUCGACGGGAUGGCUUGGCACCUCGAUGUCGGCUCGUCGCAUCCUGGGGCUGGAGCAGGUCCCAAGGGUUCGGCUGUUCGCCGAUUAAAGCGGCACGCGAGCUGGGUUCAGAACGUCGUGAGACAGCUUGGUCUCUAUCCUCUGCGCUCGUUGGAAUCCUGAGGAGGCCUGCCCAUAGUACGAGAGGACCUGGGUGGACGAACCUCUGGUAUGCCGGUUGUCGCGCCAGCGGCACGGCCGGUUGGCUACGUUCGGGAGGGAUAACCGCUGAAAGCAUCUAAGCGGGAAGCCUGCUCCAAGAUUAGGAUUCCGUACGGUCUUGAACCGUUGUAGCCCGCAUGUUGAACACGUGUUUGAUAGGCCGGAGGUGGAAGCCCCGUGAGGGGUGGAGCCGACCGGUACUAACGGGCGACGGC